CCAUCGCGAAGCAUCGAAAAGCCUUCGCUGUAGCUCCUACGGCGUCGAUUGCGUCCGAUCAAGAUCCUCUUUGCCGAUCGAUUCGACCUCUCUCGCGAAGUUCCCCGACCAGCGAUCGAUUUCUGAUGCUUAAUCGUGAUCCAGUCAUAGAUGAUUGAGUUACUUCAGCCAUCUACUCAAGUUCUAAAUUACUGCCUUGAUGAUGCACUUCAGUCAUAGAUGAUUGAGACUGAGUCAGUGAUUCCACUUCUUGAGCUAAUGGUCUUAUAAGAAGGUCAAUCUGACUGAUUUGAGGGGAAUCUGGAAAAGAUCACAGAUUUUAAUUACAAAGUGCCCCAUUUUGCAAAAUCUUUUCUACUCUUUAUUGGCAGAUCUACAUGACCUAUUCAUUGGCCUUCCGUCUUUUAGAGAAACUAUGGUUUCUGUACAGGAAGUGCUUGCUGAUAUCAAUGACGGAGAGCCAGUGUAAUCAAUGCUGCAUGCUGUCCUAUGGAAAGAACCGAGAAAAGGAACUCGACAAAUUCGGAGCUUUUGUGCAAGCUCUAAGGAGCCGAACUAAAAAGUUCGGAUCUGUGGUGGCUGUAGUUGAAGCAAAUUUUGGCUGGUCUCAGGAGGCAUUGGAACGCAUCUGUGCCUCUCGAGAUUGCAGAGUUAAUCAAUCCAUGUUUCGUAGAGUUAUAUUAUGAUGAUGAUGCAAAUGAUGAAGAGGUGUUGGUGAACAUGAAAGAAAAAGUCUUUUAGCAGAUAUGUCUACCAUAGCUGUUGGUCCAGGAGUUACAGCAGUUCUUGGUGCAUCAUCACCAUCAAAUGUUGUUUGUGCAUCUACAUUUAUCAAGCUUGCAACAUAUAAGAUUCCUGCUACUUUAAAGUUUGGUUUAGCUCAGCUGCAAAAGGCAGCUACUAUCGGACUUGGUAAGCUCCUUGUCUCAACAAAUUUACUCACACAUGGGCUCGCAGACACUGGAGCCAAGGCGUCCACCUCAAAGUUCACAGCAUCAGCUAAGAAAACUUUCGCCAUUACCCACUCUCUGACAGCAUUAACUGAGAGAUCAAGCUUGUUGGCCAUGAGGGCAUCAUUUGUUGAUAUUAUGAGAAAGAAGAGUGUCCAAUCAACAAAGUUUUCACCAUUGUCUUGCGGCAUGGUUGCUUGCACUGUGUUGCUGGCUUAUGGAAAUGAGGUUGAGUGUGCUGCUGAGUCAUUGCCAUGGCUGCAUCUGUGGGUUGUGGGCUUCAGAGCUUGCACCUAGAUACAUGAAGCUUUACAGUCUCUGAUGUACAAUUUUUUUGAAGAAAAUGAGGGCACAAUGAAGAAGGUUAAAGAUAUCCAUUUAUGAUUGGUUUAUGUUUAAUCAAUGGCCACAAAAGAAGACAAUGUUUUAGAUCUUCAGGAAACAGCAGUUUUGAUAUCACCCUAUGCCACAGCUUUGGUAGAGAUUUGCCCCUUCCAGCAACAAUGUGGAUGACGCUUCUGAGACCCUGGUUUUGUGACUGUCUUGAGUGUUUCUUCCUCCAUGCAGGUCACACCUACCCAAAUCAGAUGUUCUCUUCAAACUAGUUUUGUGCAUCAACACUGACAUGUAUGAAAGUUUUUAAAAGGUGUUUAUAUAAAUUACAAUAACCAAUAGAGACUAACUACAAUGACAUGUAUGCCAGGUUUCAAGUUUUGGUUGGUUAUAUAUGCUAAUCUCAUAUUAAGAGGGUCUAUACGCAGAGUUGGUUUUCUUCCGGGCACAACUAGAAAAUUUUAGUUUUGAUGCUCGAGUAAAAGAUUGUUUUCUUCUCUUAUUAUAAUUGCACCAGUUUGUCCCACAACACUGAAAAGGAGAUCCAGACAGCAUGGGAUUUCAAGAUGGCUUUCUAGCAAGAUGUUUAAGGUCAAUCAUUCAUUACAGAAGAUAUGCAAGGUUAGGAAGGAGUGAAGUAAGAUCCUGCUAUUGUCUUAUUGUGGCAGUAUCCUCACCCAGGAAGCAGGCAUUUAUGACCUCAGAGCCAAUACACAAGAAUCUUGUGCCAUUGUCUUCUUCCACUGACAUUGAACCUUGACAAUCUGCAUGGAAAGUGGAACUGUGGAACCACAUUUUUCUUCCCUUGGCAGGCACCAAAUGGCGGCAACAAGUCAGUUAAUCCCCCCUGUCUUGCUUAAACAUGAAAGAGAUGAAAAAAUGCUCAUGUCACAGAAUGCAGCCACGACGACAAGUCAAAAUGAAUCUAGAAGUAGAGGCUGAUGAUGGAAUUAUAGAAUACAGUCACCCUUACUCCAGCAUUACAGAUUCUUCUAGUGCCAGCAUCUCAGGUUGGCAUAUUGUCAAAAUAUCAAAAGAAUACAUUUUUGUUACUGCACUAGCAGUAAAGGCUAGUUACAAAGAUGACAGGCUUCAACGACUUGUUUGAGCAAAUAGGAAAGGGAUGCCGAUUGCCAAUUGGGAAAUUAUAGCUAAAGUAUAGGGAUGACAAGGAAGAGCAGGUGAUGUUAGUGACCGAUGCUGAUCUGCAGGAGCGCAUGAAGGUAUUGGAUUAUACCAGAUCAAACAGAGUGAAGCUUCAAGAAUACGAUAUGUCACAUGUCGGCAGCUCAGCAAGUAGUAAUUGCCUAAAUCCAUGAAAAGCAGAGAGACAUAAUGUUGAAACCUCACCUGCUAAUCUUUGAGUUAUUAAAGAAUUGUUGUGAUGGCAAUCGAAGCAUUAUUUCUUGAAGUUAGAGGCCAAUGUUGUCAUCCUUACAUGCAGCAGAUAUAGAUAUCAAUUUUAUGUUGAUUGGAAGUCCUGUUAACAAACUUCCUGUGACCUCCAUUUUCGAAUAUUGUCACCUCUAUGUAAGUACCUUGCAUGUUUUUACAGAGGGAACUGUUUUGUCAGUCUUCUCCCCACAUUCAUUUACCUACAAACACACUUUUCUCCUGGUUUUUGGUUGAGUCUGAGUUUCAUGGUGUUGUGUACUUCUGCAAAUUUAGAACACAAUAUCUAUAUUCAUGUUCUGCAUGCUCAUUUACGGUCUUUUCCCUGUGAAAGAUGGUACUAUAUGUCAUUUGUUUUUCCAAACUGUAAUUUCAGAAUUUCUAUGUUCUCUUAUUUCUGCUGCUUAAUCUUGUGUUCAUACUGGGGGAUGAUAAGUUUAUACCUCUGAUUAAUCAGUUGGCCAAACUGUUUUUGGACCAAGCAGGUGUUGGUGGACUCUUCAUCUAGAGCUGCACGUUAGCAGACAUCAUUCUGAACAAAUCUAAAAUUCCAGGUUAUAUUAUCUUAGAUGUUCAAGACGGUUUGAUGGUUCACUUCAGCUAAAAUUCAAGGGUCUUUAUGACCAUAUGCUGCAUGACUUGAAUAUGAAUGCUCUGCUUGUUGAUAGACUGUCCGUUGAGUUUCUAUCAAUUGUACCAUGAUGGCUUUAAACUCAUCAGUUGUUCUGGAAAUCAAGAUCUACUAGGAUGAACCAGAAGCCAAGUUAUGCUACAACGCCUGAUAGAUUCUGGGUACAUCAGUUCAUCCAUGAUCAUACCUAAAACAUGAUUGGCUGCUGUGCCUGGUGCUGUUUCACACCGAGAAAGAUGGAACCAUCCAAUUUGAUCUUCAACACCACGAUUUUGAACCAAUAUAUGCAAAGGAUGAUGCUGUUUUCAAAGGUUCAAGAAAGUUGCCAUGUCAUUGAUACUUUUCAAAAUGCUGCUGAUGACAGAAGUAUGGAUCCUAGUUCGGUGUCUUCAUGUAUUCAGGGCAUAAAACUCUUGGACACAAGUUUUCCAGUUUCGGUUUAGAUCAAGUAACACUGAGAAAUCAUUCAGCAUUUCUUGAAAUGAUAUUCCCAUAUUUCAUCCUUGUGCUUGCAAUACUACUGCAAGCUGUUGACUUAUGUUGCAAGAUGAACAUGGUGGUGCUGUCAUCUUCAUGUUUCCUUGAAGUAACCCCCCCUGCUGGUGAACCAUCCAUAUUUAUUUGAUCUGUUGUGUCAAUUAUGAUUGCUAAAUCUACAUGACUGCUGCAUUCCUUUUUA